rnacentral:misc_RNA from 1 species
AAAGAAGCAGCCCGAAAUUGGGUCUGUAGCUCAGUUGGUUAGAGCGCACCCCUGAUAAGGGUGAGGUCGGCAGUUCGAAUCUGCCCAGACCCACCAAUUUUGUGUGGGAAACGCCUGUAGAAAUACGGGGCCAUAGCUCAGCUGGGWGAGCGCCURCCUUGCACGCAGGAGGUCAACGGUUCGAUCCCGUUUGGCUCCACCACUACUGCYUCUGUUUGUAUAAAGCUUAGAAAUGAGCAUUCCAUCGUUGYGAUGRUGAAUGUUGAUUUCUAGUCUUUGAYUAGWUCGUUCUUUAAAAAUUUGGGUAUGUGAUAGAAAGAUAGACUGAACGUUACUUUCACUGGUAACGGAUCAGGCUAAGGUAAAAUUUGUGAGUUCUCUUAACUGAGAAAUUCGAAUUUUCGGCGAAUGUCGUCUUCACAGUAUAACCAGAUUGCUUGGGGUUAUA